rnacentral:rRNA from 1 species
UGGGGAAUAUUGGACAAUGGGCGCAAGCCUGAUCCAGCCAUGCCGCGUGAGUGAUGAAGGCCUUAGGGUUGUAAAGCUCUUUCAGUGGGGAAGAUAAUGACGGUACCCACAGAAGAAGCCCCGGCUAACUUCGUGCCAGCAGCCGCGGUAAUACGAAGGGGGCUAGCGUUGUUCGGAUUUACUGGGCGUAAAGCGCACGUAGGCGGAUCGUUAAGUCAGGGGUGAAAUCCCAGAGCUCAACUCUGGAACUGCCUUUGAUACUGGCGAUCUCGAGUCCGGAAGAGGUGAGUGGAACUCCUAGUGUAGAGGUGGAAUUCGUAGAUAUUAGGAAGAACACCGGUGGCGAAGGCGGCUCACUGGUCCGGAACUGACGCUGAGGUGCGAAAGCGUGGGGAGCAAAACAGGAUUAGAUACCCUGGUAGUCCACGCCGUAAACUAUGAGAGCUAGCCGUUGGAUGGUUUACCAUUCAGUGGCGCAGCUAACGCAUUAAGCUCUCCGCCUGGGGAGUACGGUCGCAAGAUUAAAACUUAAAUGAAUUGACGGGGUCAUAGCUGUUUCCU